rnacentral:rRNA from 1 species
AUUGAACGCUGGCGGCAGGCCUAACACAUGCAAGUCGAACGAGUGGCGGACGGGUGAGUAAUGUCUGGGAAACUGCCUGAUGGAGGGGGAUAACUACUGGAAACGGUAGCUAAUACCGCAUACCAUCGGAUGUGCCCAGAUGGGCUUAGCUAGUAGGUGGGGUAAUGGCUCACCUAGGAGACGAUCCCUAGCUGGUCUGCGAGGAUGACCGGCCACACUGGAACUGAGACACGGUCAAGACUCCUACGGGAGGCAGCAGUGGGGAAUAUGGCACAAUGGGCGCAAGCCUGAUGCAGCCAUGCCGCGUGUGGGAAGAAGGCCUUCGGGUUGUAAAGUACUUUCAGCGGGGAGGCGUUACCCGCAGAAGAAGCACCGGCUAACUCCGUGCCAGCAGCCGCGGUAAUUC